rnacentral:rRNA from 1 species
GACGAACGCUGGCGGCGUGCCUAAUACAUGCAAGUAGAACGCUGAAGAGAGGAGCUUGCUCUUCUUGGAUGAGUUGCGAACGGGUGAGUAACGCGUAGGUAACCUGCCUUGUAGCGGGGGAUAACUAUUGGAAACGAUAGCUAAUACCGCAUAACAAUGGGUGACACAUGUCAUUUAUUUGAAAGGGGCAAUUUCUCCACUACAAGAUGGACCUGCGUUGUAUUAGCUAGUAGGUGAGGUAAUGGCUCACCUAGGCGACGAUACAUAGCCGACCUGAGAGGGUGAUCGGCAAAACUGGGAAGGGGACACGGCCCAGACGACUAAGGGAGGCAGCAGUAGGGAAACUUCGGCAAUGGGGGCAACCCUGACCGAGGAACGCCGCGUGAGUGAAGAAGGGUUUCGGAUCGUAAAGCUCUGUUGUAAGUCAAGAACGGGUGUGAGAGUGGAAAGUUCACACUGUGACGGUAGCUUACCAGAAAGGGACGGCUAACUACGUG